rnacentral:lncRNA from 1 species
AUGGAAGCAGACGGAAAAAAGGCCUCGAAGAGGCGUCCUACCUGGGCUACCGAGUGGGGAGGGGCAGCGUGAAGCUGCAAGAGGAGAAGGUGCAGACCAUCCGGACCUGGCCCCGGCCGAGGACGAAGAAGCAGGUGAAGUCAUUCCUGGGACUCGUGGGGUACUACCAACGCUACAUCCCUGCGUUCGCGACACUGGCCAGCCCCCUCCACGCGGAGGGCUCUGCCUGACCGGGUCGAGUGGACGGAGGAGGUCGAGGAGGCAUCUUGUGCCUCCGACGGGCCCUCUGCACCGAGCCCCUCCUGAUCACCCCGGACUUCAACCUCCCCUUCGUCGUCCACACCGACGCGUCCGAGGUGGGGCUGGGAGCGGUCUUAUCCCAGGUCCGGUCGAGCGAGGAGCUCCCGGUGACCUAUAUCAGCCGGAAACUCAUGUUCAGCGAGAAAGCCUACUCGACCGUGGAGAAGGAGGCGCUGGCGAUAAAGUGGACCCUGGAGAAGCUUCGCUACUACCUCCUCGGACACACCUUCACCCUGGUCACAGACCAUGCCCCCCUGAAGUGGAUGGCCACGGCCAAGGAUACCAACGCCCGGGUGACGCGCUGGUUCCUGGCCCUGCAGGAUUAUCACUUCCAGGUGGUCCACCGGCCCGGACGCGCACAUGCAAACGCAGACACACUGUCCCGGAGGGACGCCUGCCUAGGCCUGUCCCGGGGGGUCCCCGACUUGCAGCUGAGGGUGGGGGUGUGUGGCAACCCCGAUCCGACGGAGGAGUUCGAGCCCUGCCAGCGCCCUCUCCGCAGGCGGGUAGUCCGUGGGAGAUAUGUGCCGCUCGGCGCGGCGACGCGGGAGCGCGCAUAGAGCGCACUCGCGCAAUCACAGAGAUGCGGAGCACCCGGCGGAGGGAGACGGCGGAGGGUUCUUAAGGACCGAGCGCGCACCAGUCAGGGGAAUGCGGCCGAGUUAGAAAGACGCGGUAGGGGGAGAUUACCCUGACCCACGCUAAAGCCAUUACGCCUCUCCCCAGGACUAAGCAACCGAAGACGCAGGGGAUCGAGACGCCGCCCCCGCAGCAGGACCAGACCCGGAGCGGUGUCCUUUUUUCCCAUACCAGGAAGAACCUGAGUUAACUUUUUCGUUACCAUUUUUGCACGUGUGGUAAUACGCAAUAAAAAAACGUUGACCCACACCCUGUUUAAUGCGUCUCCUUCGGGAAUCUCAGCCGCCGACGAUCGGGGUUGCCACUAUAUAUAUAUAUAUAUAUAUGUAUAUAUAUAUAUAGAUUGAAUUGAUUUAUUUGGAAUAAAAGACAGA